rnacentral:rRNA from 1 species
UCUUUCUGGAUUCAGUGGGUGGGGGUGCAUGGCCGUUCUUAGUUGGGGGAGGGAUUUGUCUGGUUACAUUCCGAUAACGAACGAGACUCUGGCCUGCUAACUAGGACCNUCGCCUUUUUGGGGGCUGGACUUCUUCUUGGAGGGACUGGUGUCCAUGUCCGCCGCACGAGAUUGAGCAAUAACACGGCUGUGAUGCCCA